rnacentral:rRNA from 1 species
AAUCACUNGUCUAUUAAUUGUAGACCCGUAUGAAAGGCAAAAUGAGGGCCUAACUGUCUCUUAUAGUAAAUCAAUUAAACUGAUCUCCCAGUACAAAAGCUGGGAUAUAUCCAUAAGACCAGAAGACCCUGUGAAGCUUAAACUAAACUAUUAAACCAUAUAAUAUACUACUUUCGGUUGGGGCGACCUUGGAAAAAAAAAGAACUUCCAAACACAUGACCUAACACCAUACCAUCAGGCUAACAAGCCCAAAAAUAGACCCAGUACAGCUGAUAAAUGAACCAAGUUACUCCAGGGAUAACAGCGCUAUCUUCUUCAAGAGCCCAUAUCAAAAAGAAGGUUUACGACCUCGAUGUUGGAUCAGGACAUCCUAUUGGUGCAGCCGCUAUUAAGGGUUCGUUUGUUCAACGAUUAAUAGUCCUACGUGAUCUGAGUU